rnacentral:rRNA from 1 species
AAAGGAAUAGACGGGGGCCCGCACAAGCGGAGGAACAUGUGGUUUAAUUCGAUGAUACGCGAGGAACCUUACCCGGGCUUGAAAUGUGCAUGAUUGUUAAGAGAGAUCUUUUCGUCCUUCGGGCAUGCAUGUAGGUGCUGCAUGGUUGUCGUCAGCUCGUGCCGUGAGGUGUCGGCUUAAGUGCCAUAACGAGCGCAACCCUUGCCGCCAGUUGCCAUCAGGUCAUGCUGGGCACUCUGGCGGGACUGCCAUCGCAAGAUGUGAGGAAGGUGGGGAUGACGUCAAAUCAGCACGGCCCUUACGUCCGGGGCUACACACGUGUUACAAUGGGGGGUACAGAAUGCUGCUGGGCGGCGACGUCCGGCCAAUCACGAAAUCCCCUCUCAGUUCGGACUGGAGUCUGCAACCCGACUCCACGAAGCUGGAUUCGCUAGUAAUCGCGCAUCAGCCAUGGCGCGGUGAAUACGUUCCCGGGCCUUGUACACACCGCCCGU